rnacentral:tRNA from 1 species
GGUUGUGGCUCAGCGGUAGAGCACUUGCCUAGCAUGUGUGAGGCCCUGGGUUCAAUCCUCAGCACCA